CGGCGGACGGGUGAGUAACACGUGGGUAACCUGCCUGUAAGACNGGGAUAACNCCGGGAAACCGGGGCUAAUACCGGANGCUNGAUUGAACCGCAUGGUUCAAUUAUAAAAGGUGGCUUUUAGCUACCACUUACAGAUGGACCCGCGGCGCAUUAGCUAGUUGGUGAGGUAACGGCUCACCAAGGCAACGAUGCGUAGCCGACCUGAGAGGGUGAUCGGCCACACUGGGACUGAGACACGGCCCAGACUCCUACGGGA
rnacentral:rRNA from 1 species